rnacentral:rRNA from 1 species
GUGCCAGCCGCCGCGGUAAUACGUAGGGGGCGAGCGUUGUCCGGAAUUACUGGGCGUAAAGGGCGUGUAGGCGGCCUUUCAAGUCGGCUGUGAAAGUCCCCGGCUCAACCGGGGGAUUGCAGUCGAAACUGAGGGGCUUGAGUGCAGGAGAGGAGGGUGGAAUUCCCGGUGGAGCGGUGAAAUGCGUAGAUAUCGGGAGGAACACCGGUGGCGAAGGCGACCUUCUGGCCUGUUACUGACGCUGAGGCGCGAAAGCCGGGGGAGCAAACAGGAUUAGAUACCCGGGUAGUCCUAGCCGUAAACGAUGGGUGCUAGGUGUUGGGGGGUAAAGACCCUUCAGUGCCGUAGUUAACGCAUUAAGUACCCCGCCUGGGGAGUACGGUCGCAAGGCUGAAACUCAAAUGAAUUGACGG